AUUGAACGCUGGCGGCAGGCCUAACACAUGCAAGUCGAGCGAGCGGCGGACGGGUGAGUAAUGUAUGGGGACUGCCAGUUAGAGGGGGAUAACUACUGGAAACGGUAGCUAAUACCGCAUACUGUAGGAUAACCCAUAUGGGAUUAGCUAGUAGGUGGGGUAAUGGCUCACAAAGGCGAAGAUCCCUGGCUGGUCUGAGAGGAUGAUCAGCCACACUGGAACUGAGAAACGGCCCAGACUCCUACGGAGGCAGCAGUGGGGAAUAUUGCACAAUGGGCGAAAGCCUGAUGCAGCCAUGCCGCGUGUAUGAAGAAGGCCCUAGGGUUGUAAAGUACUUUCAGUCGGGAGGCGUUACCGACAGAAGAAGCACCGGCUAACUCCGUGCCAGCAGCCGCGGUAAUAC
rnacentral:rRNA from 1 species